AUUGAACGCUGGCGGCAGGCCUAACACAUGCAAGUCGAGCGGAUGAGUGGAGCUUGCUCCUUGAUUUAGCGGCGGACGGGUGAGUAAUGCCUAGGAAUCUGCCUGGUAGUGGGGGAUAACGUUCCGAAAGGAACGCUAAUACCGCAUACGUCCUACGGGAGAAAGCAGGGGACCUUCGGGCCUUGCGCUAUCAGAUGAGCCUAGGUCGGAUUAGCUAGUUGGUGAGGUAAUGGCUCACCAAGGCGACGAGCCGUAACUGGUCUGAGAGGAUGAUCAGUCACACUGGAACUGAGACACGGUCCAGACUCCUACGGGAGGCAGCAGUGGGGAAUAUUGGACAAUGGGCGAAAGCCUGAUCCAGCCAUGCCGCGUGUGUGAAGAAGGUCUUCGGAUUGUAAAGCACUUUAAGUUGGGAGGAAGGGCAUUAACCUAAUACGUUAGUGUUUUGACGUUACCGACAGAAUAAGCACCGGCUAACUUCGUGCCAGCCGCCGCCGUAAAAC
rnacentral:rRNA from 1 species